UACGGAGGGUGCGAGCGUUGUCCGGAAUCACUGGGCGUAAAGGGCGCGUAGGUGGCCUGUUGAAGUCUGCGGUGAAAGCCCGGCGCUCAACGCCGGGUCGGCCGUGGAUACUCUCGGGCUCGAGCUUACUAGAGGCAGAUGGAAUUCCGGGUGUAGCGGUGGAAUGCGUAGAGAUCCGGAAGAACACCGGUGGCGAAGGCGGCCUGCUGGGCAGUAGCUGACGCUGAAGCGCGACAGCGUGGGGAGCAAACAGG
rnacentral:rRNA from 1 species